GACGAACGCUGGCGGCGUGCUUAACACAUGCAAGUCGAACGGAAAGGCCCUGCUUUUGUGGGGUGCUCGAGUGGCGAACGGGUGAGUAACACGUGAGUAACCUGCCCUUGACUUUGGGAUAACUUCAGGAAACUGGGGCUAAUACCGGAUAGGAGCUCCUGCUGCAUGGUGGGGGUUGGAAAGUUUCGGCGGUUGGGGAUGGACUCGCGGCUUAUCAGCUUGUUAGUGGGGUAGUGGCUUACCAAGGCUUUGACGGGUAGCCGGCCUGAGAGGGUGACCGGCCACAUUGGGACUGAGAUACGGCCCAGACUCCUACGGGAGGCAGCAGUGGGGAAUAUUGCACAAUGGGCGGAAGCCUGAUGCAGCAACGCCGCGUGCGGGAUGACGGCCUUCGGGUUAUGAACCGCUUUCGCCUGUGACGAAGCGUGAGUGACGGUAAUGGGUAAAGAAGCACCGGCUAACUACGUG
rnacentral:rRNA from 1 species